GGACUUCGCUUCCAGAUGAUGUUUUAGAAUUGAUCUUGGUUCGGCUUCCUUUCACUUCUUUGAGACCCCACCAUGGUGGGAGAAAGGAGAGGAAGAGAAUGGAUGGAGAAAAAAGAGGAGGAGAAAAGAGGAGGGAGAAAAAGGAGGAAGGGGAGGAGGAGAAAUAGAUAAAAAGAAAGGGGAGGAAGAGAAAGGAAGAAGGAAGGAAGUGGGAGAAAUAGAGAUACUGGUCAGGGAGGAGGAGGGAGGAGGAAGGUAAUGGGUAUUUUUAUUAUUUUAAAAAAAUUUAUUAAUAGAGAUAGAUAGCUGAACUACAUUACAAAUAUUUCGAUAACU
rnacentral:lncRNA from 1 species